rnacentral:lncRNA from 1 species
CAGCGAGGACACGGUGCUAGGUAGUGGAUUGCCGUGCGCUAUAUUUAGAAAGCAGCUGGAAGAGAAAAUGUCCUCAGGAAUCCGGACUAUUUUGUUGUAAAUGUCCCUGCAGUCCCAGUACAGUAAGCGUAAAUGCUCGUUCUUCAGACGUGCCAGCGCUUCGCUCUGCCUGGGAGCCCUGGGUGUCAUGCCUGGCGUUAGCAACAAUGAGGGUCUGGUCCUUCCUUGGGCUGCCCAGGGACUUCCGAGGCAUCCAGCACCUGGCUUCCAGCUCAGCCUGCUUGGUGACUGCAGCAAGAAAGAGGCCCCGUAUCUCAAGGUGAAGGCUGUUGGUGGGCUCACCGCAGCAGGAUGAAGCCAACGCCUCCUAAAAGAAACAGCCCCCCAGCUGCUUGUGCCGGUCCGAGGUAACGGAGUUGGGGAGCUGCUGUAAGAUUCUUGCCACCCCCAAGUCACCCCACUUGACCCUUUCUCGCUGUGGGGCAACUCGCCCG